rnacentral:rRNA from 1 species
AUACGGAGGGUGCAAGCGUUACUCGGAAUCACUGGGCGUAAGGCGCGCGCAGGCGGCUUGAUAAGUUGGAUGUGAAAGCCUACGGCUCAACCGUAGAACUGCAUCCAAAACUGUCAAGCUAGAGUCUGGGAGGGGAAGAUGGAAUUAGUUGUGUAGGGGUAAAAUCCGUAGAGAUAACUAGGAAUACCAAAAGCGAAGGCGAUCUUCUGGAACAGUACUGACGCUGAGGCGCGAAAGCGUGGGGAGCAAACAGGAUUAGAAACCCCGGUAGUCC